CCUACGGGUGGCAGCAGUGAGGAAUAUUGGUCAAUGGACGCUAGCCUGAACCAGCCAAGUCGCGUGAAGGAUGACUGCCCUAUGAGUUGUAAACUUCUUUUAUAUGGGAAUAAAGUGCAGUAUGUAUACUGCUUUGCAUGUACCUUAUGAAUAAGGAUCGGCUAACUCCGUGCCAGCAGCCGCGGUAAUACGGAGGAUUCGAGCGUUAUCCGGAUUUAUUGGGUUUAAAGGGUGCGUAGGCGGGUUGUUAAGUCAGUUGUGAAAGUUUGCGGCUCAACCGUAAAAUUGCAGUUGAUACUGGCAGCCUUGAGUACAGUAGAGGUAGGCGGAAUUCGUGGUGUAGCGGUGAAAUGCUUAGAUAUCACGAAGAACUCCGAUUGCGAAGGCAGCCUGCUGGACUGUAACUGACGCUGAUGCUCGAAAGUGUGGGUAUCAAACAGGAUUAGAUACCCGGGUAGUC
rnacentral:rRNA from 1 species